AUUGAACGCUGGCGGCAGGCCUAACACAUGCAAGUCGAGCGAGCGGCGGACGGGUGAGUAAUGUAUGGGGACUGCCCGAUAGAGGGGGAUAACUACUGGAAACGGUAGCUAAUACCGCAUACUAUCGGAUAACCCAUAUGGGAUUAGCUAGUCGGUGAGGUAAUGGCUCACCAAGGCGACGAUCCCUAACUGGUCUGAGAGGAUCAUCAGGCACACUGGAACUGAGACACGGCCCAGACUCCUACGGAGGCAGCAGUGUGGAAGAUUGCGCAAUGGGCGCAAGCCGGAUGCAGCCAUGCCGCGUGGAUGAAGAAGGCCCUAGGGUUGUAAAGUACUUUCAGUCGAGAGGCGUUACCGACAGAAGAAGCACCGGCUAACUUCGUGCCAGCAGCCGCGGUAAUAC
rnacentral:rRNA from 1 species